UUUUUUAACUUUUCUAAAAUUAUAAAACAUAAAAUAAAAGAAGAGUGGAGAAUAAAAUCAGGCAAUGUCAGAUGGAAUAUAAUUCAAAUCGUAUUUGAAAAUACUGACAAAGCUAUUCUGGAUAAGGUUGCAACAAAGGACCAAGUCUUUUUGUUGUAUGCUUUUAAUAUAGAUUGCAGAGAGUGGAGUUUUUAGGACUCCUUGGUACACCACUCUUUCUUGGACACAGUAAAAGAGAUUGAUGCUUCAUCUCCAAUUUAAUAUUCCAACUUAUCCAUUUACACCCACACAUUUUAUUUUUAGCUUGGUGCUGGCAUCCACAACUGGGCCAUCUCAAAAUCACCAUCAAGAUCAAUUGUGCAUUGAGAUCACAAUGUAUAAGUUUUUGGGUAGUUGAGCAUCGAGGAUCACCAUAUUAGCCUAACUCUAUUUUAUUUUUUUUAUGGACAGAGUAGAAAUUCUUAGAUUGAUUCAGAUUGUAGAACAUACCAUGCACAUGGUUUCAACAGGAUAUAUUUCGGAAACAUACAAAAAUAUUCCAACAGUUUACAUUCUUACAUGUGUACGAUGAGCAUCAGAUACACCAGAGCCAACAUGGAGUCAAAUGGAAUACAGAAUUUAAUUCCUUCCAGAAUCUGGGGUAAGCUUAUUUCAAGAGGCGAGUUUUACAAAAAAAAUUGAAAAGUUGUGAUUUAAAAAGCUAACAAAAACCAUUACGUAACUAAAUAAAUAUUCAAUUGUUUUAAUAUUGUUCACAGUUGUUGAAAUCAAGAUUUGAGAUUAUAUAGUAGGAUUUAUAAGAAAAAAUUGAUUUGGUCCAACUCAUGACCUUUUCUUUUUGUAUAUUAUCUCUAAAGGUCAAAAUCUUCCUAAAGAAGAAUUUACUUCACUCAACAUAAGACCUUUGUGAAGCUUUUAUACCAUGACCAUUCAAAAUGAACUUCUAGAUUGAAAGACCCCUGAAUUGUUCAUGCGAAUUGGUCAAUGUGGGGCAUAACUUAGGACAGAUCUAAGUCUCACAAUCCACCAUUUCUAGUUAUCCAACAGUUUAUAACAAAAUUUCUACAGUAGGCAACACUUUGUCUGCAGCUCUGAUUCUUGUCAAUAGAUCCCUUGCUCUCAUAGCUUUGAUGGACCAGUUCCCAAGCAGGAUUUUGAAUGCAUUAAUGAGAAAAAUGGAUUGAAGCAGGAGCACUCUGCCCAAUGCCAUGUGUUACCAUGAGCAUGCAUGUGGUAAUUGAUUUAUUGAUUGAUUAAUGUAUAUAUAAAUAAUCACUGUUUUUUAAUGAUGGAGGGAUGUCGGUAGAAUAUUUAAAUAAUACAGUUCAUGAGAUGAUGAUAUUUUAAUUUUAAUUUUUUUACUUGCUUUCAUUACAUAGGAUUAAGAAUUUUAGGUAGUGACUUACUAUGUUAGCAAGAUCUUCUCAUUAAUGUAUAAAAUAAUCAUUUAAAAUGCAAAUAAUGUAAUUAUGAAAUUGCAAGCAGAAAUUUUAAAGAACAAUCUGAAAACGUGGUUGAAGGAAGAAAUAUCCACGUUGUGGGUUUUGUUUUUGAACAAACAAUUUCUGUUUUAGACUUUUCAUGACUUUUAGUGUGGGCAUU
rnacentral:lncRNA from 1 species